UACAGAGGGGGCGAGCGUUGUUCGGAAUUACUGGGCGUAAAGGGCGCGUAGGCGGCCUGCUAAGUCGGACGUGAAAUCCCUCGGCUCAACCGGGGAACUGCGUCCGAUACUAGUUGGCUUGAAUUCGGGAGAGGGAUGCGGAAUUCCAGGUGUAGCGGUGAAAUGCGUAGAUAUCUGGAGGAACACCGGUGGCGAAGGCGGCAUCC
rnacentral:rRNA from 1 species